GCAAAACGCGAAGAACCUUACCUAGGCUUGAACUCCUACGAAUCCGGGGUAAUGCCUGGAGUGUCCGCAAGGAAAUGUAGUGAGAGGUGCUGCAUGGCUGUCGUCAGCUCGUGUUGUGAAAUGUUGGGUUAAGUCUCGCAACGAGCGCAACCCCUAUCGUCUGUUGCCAGCAUUAAAGUUGGGCACUCUGACGAGACUGCCUGGGUUAACCAGGAGGAAGGUAGGGAUGACGUCAAGUCCUCAUGGCCCUUAUGUCUAGGGCUACACACGUAAAUACAAUGGCGCGUACAGAGGGAAGCGAACUCGCGAGGGGGAGCAAAUCUCAAAAAGCGCGUCUCAGUCCGGAUUGGAGUCUGCAACUCGACUCCAUGAAGUUGGAAUCGCUAGUAAUCGGAGAUCAGCACGCUCCGGUGAAUACGUUCCCGGGUCUUGUACACACCG
rnacentral:rRNA from 1 species